rnacentral:rRNA from 1 species
GAUGAACGCUGGCGGCGUGCCUAAUACAUGCCAGUCGAGCGAACGGACGAGAAGCUUGCUUCUCUGAUGUUAGCGGCGGACGGGUGAGUAACACGUGGAUAACCUACCUAUAAGACUGGGAUAACUUCGGGAAACCGUAGCUAAUACCGGAUAAUAUUUUGAACCGCAUGGUUCAAAAGUGAAAGACGGUCUUGCUGUCACUUAUAGAUGGAUCCGCGCUGCAUUAGCUAGUUGGUAAGGUAACGGCUUACCAAGGCAACGAUGCAUAGCCGACCUGAGGGGGUGAUCGGCCACACUGGAACUGAGACACGGUCCAGACGCCUACGGGAGGCAGCAGUAGGGAAUCUUCCGCAAUGGGCGAAAGCCUGACGGAGCAACGCCGCGUGAGUGAUGAAGGUCUUCGGAUCGUAAAACUCUGUUAUUAGGGAAGAACAUAUGUGUAAGUAACUGUGCACAUCUUGACGGUACCUAAUCAGAAAGCCACGGCUAACUACGUG